rnacentral:tRNA from 1 species
AUUUAAUUAGUUUAAAAAAAAAUAUUGAUUUGUGGUAUCAAAGAUAUAAAUUUAUAUUAAAUU